rnacentral:rRNA from 1 species
UGGGGAAUAUUGCACAAUGGGCGCAAGCCUGAUGCAGCCAUGCCGCGUGUAUGAAGAAGGCCUUCGGGUUGUAAAGUACUUUCAGCGGGGAUGAAGGGAGUAAAGUUAAUACCUUUGCUCAUUGACGUUACCCGCAGAAGAAGCACCGGCUAACUCCAUGCCAGCAGCCGCGGUAAUACGGAGGGUGCAAGCGUUAAUCGGAAUUACUGGGCGUAAAGCGCACGCAGGCGGUUUGUUAAGUCAGAUGUGAAAUCCCCGGGCUCAACCUGGGAACUGCAUCUGAUACUGGCAAGCUUGAGUCUCGUAGAGGGGGGUAGAAUUCCAGGUGUAGCGGUGAAAUGCGUAGAGAUCUGGAGGAAUACCGGUGGCGAAGGCGGCCCCCUGGACGAAGACUGACGCUCAGGUGCGAAAGCGUGGGGAGCAAACA